rnacentral:lncRNA from 12 species
AUGUUGACACCUAAUCUGGUUCUUCUCACACUCUUCUCAGAGGUAUGGUGCGGACUCUUCCUGGGUGUCCUCUGGGUGUCUCCUCUGGGCACCGACAGGAUGCGGAGGCCCAGAGACAGGACGCCCGAGGCCCAGAGGCUUGUGGUCUGGCUCCCCCAACACUUGCUGUGUGGCCCGAGGCAAGCUGGUGCCCCUCUCUGGGUUCCAGUGGCCGACGGACACUGGCACUCUUGCCCCAGGGAGCAGGGUGCCAUGCAGUGGGCAAACCAGAGGUCGGGGACAUCUCACAAAGCACGGCGGGGGGAGCCAGGAGCUCUGCAGACUUUCCCGCCUGCCUCUGCGGGCAGUGAGCACCCCUUCCGUGGGAGUGAGCAACAGGCCGGUGCUUGCCAACGCCCUGGACCCCUUGCCAAGGAGCCCGCAGAAUGCCACAGGGCCUGGCACAGCCCGAUUGCUUACCCAGUGCUUUCUGCCCAGGGCCUGUGCGCCAGGCUCAUUUCGGGGCCUGGGGAGCAGGGACAGGCACCGGCAGGCAGGGGUGCCCGGGGCCACCCGCAGCAUGAGGGAGUGAGGCACCUGCCCCUCACCCUGUUCUCGGCCCUGCUCUGCUGCCCGCCUGGUUGCUACCGGCCGCGCCAAGCCAGAGGCGGUGGGCGGGCCAUCCCGCCCCGGGGUGGGCGGCGACAGAGGGGCGGCGGGCGGCCGGGGCGGGCCCGGGCGGUGCGUCCCGGGCGGGCCCGGCUGAGAAGGAAGGAGGGGAGGCUACCCUGCAGCCCCUGGGCGGGGCACGGCAGCCUCCGGGGCCCAGGUCGGCGGGAGGUAGGCCCCGGGAGGAGCAGGGCCCGGGCCCGCCCCCGGGGCAGGCGGGGUUGCCCCAGGGCUUCUCCGGGCCUGGCUGCAGACCGCCUGGCGGGGUGGGCACGGCCGCGGUCCUGUGUGCGUGGCGGGGGCCUGGGCACCGCCCUCCCUGCUUCACCGGGCGAAGGCUGUGCCAGCGCUUUUGUCCGCCAACGUCCUUCACCCCUCAGCCCGUGA